rnacentral:misc_RNA from 1 species
GAUGAAGAACGUAGCUAAAUGCGAUAAGUAAUGUGAAUUGCAGAAUUCAGUGAAUCAUCGAAUCUUUGAACGCACAUUGCGCCCGUCGGCACUCCGGCGGGCAUGCCUGUCCGAGCGUCAUUUCAACCCUCAGGACCCCCUUCCGGGGGGGACCUGGCGCUGGGGAUCAGCGGCCUCCGGGCCCCUGUCCCCCAAAUGCAGUGGCGGUCGCGCCGCAGCCUCCCCUGCGUAGUAGCACACCUCGCACCGGAGAGCGGCUCGGCCACGCCGUGAAACCCCCAAUUUUUCAAGGUUGACCUCGGAUCAGGUAGGAAUACCCGCUGAACUUAAGCAUAUCAAUAAGCGGAGGA